rnacentral:rRNA from 1 species
ACUCAAAGGAAUUGACGGGGGCCCGCACAAGCAGUGGAGUAUGUGGUUUAAUUCGAAGCAACGCGAAGAACCUUACCAGGUCUUGACAUCCUUGGAACCCUUCAGAGAUGAGGGGGUGCCCUUUGGGAGCCAAGAGACAGGUGGUGCAUGGUUGUCGUCAGCUCGUGUCGUGAGAUGUUGGGUUAAGUCCCGCAACGAGCGCAACCCUUACCAUUAGUUGCUACGCAAGAGCACUCUAAUGGGACCGCUACCGUAAGGUGGAGGAAGGUGGGGACGAGGUCAAAUCAUCAUGCCCCUUAUGACCUGGGCUACACACGUACUACAAUGGCCGUUAACAACGGGAGGCGAAGGCGCGAGCCGGAGCAAACCCCCAAAAACGGUCUCAGUUCGGAUGGCAGGCUGCAACCCGCCUGCGUGAAGUCGGAAUUGCUAGUAAUCGCGGAUCAGCAUGCCGCGGUGAAUACGUUCCCGGGCCUUGCACACACCGCCCGU